GUAGUAGCGAUUGUUCUUUACGACACUAAGAGCGUGUUUGGUUCGAAGUCGGAGUCGGAAUCAGAAACGGAAUCAAAAUAAGCUGUAAUCGGAAUUGAAAUGAUUCAUUACCUAAUUCUGUUUGGUUCAUCACCUAAAUCGGAAUCGGAAUAAAUCAUUCCCAUUGUCUGUGUUUGGUUCAGGUGGAUAUAAAAAACGUAAUCAAAUUAAUAUACUAACAUUAUCUUUAUAAUAUAUUAAUUUAAAUUCAAAUUAAAAAUUUACAUCAAAAUUUUGAAAUAAUGUCAAAACUUUAAAUCUUUUUUUUUUAAAAAAAAUAAAUUUUGAAGUUGAGUGGAUAAUUCAAAAUAUGAAAAUAAAUUUUGAUUUAUUCAAAUUCAAACUUAAAAUUACAAUUUAAAUUUUAAUUUAAAUCUAUAAAUUUAAUUUAAGUUUGAAAUAAAAUUUGAAUAAAACUUUAUAUAAAUUAAAAUUUAAUUUAAAUUCAAAUUCAUAAGUUAGAUUCGAAAUACUUGAUUAAAUUUUAAUUUUUAAUUUAAGUUCAAAUUAUAAUUUAAAAUUAUAUAUUAAAUUUUUAAAUUUUAACUUAUAUUUUAAUUAAAUAAUUAAAAAAAUAAAUUUAAUUUGAAUAAAUAUCCAUUCCGUCCGGAUUCAACUUCCAAUCCGGCCUCCUAGGCUGGAUUGAAAAAAGAGGCGAUUGGAGAAUUUCCAUUCCACUCGGGAAUUGGAAUUGGAAUGGAACUCCCGCGUACUAAACACUCACAAACGGAUUCACCCAUUUCGAUUCCGAUUCCAGGAUGAAAAAAAGCGAAACAAACACGCCCUAACAGUAUUAGACACCAUU
rnacentral:lncRNA from 1 species